CACGUAGGGGGCAAGCGUUGUCCGGAUUUAUUGGGCGUAAAGAGCUCGUAGGCGGUUUCGUAAGUCGGGUGUGAAAACUCUAGGCUCAACCUAGAGACGCCACCCGAUACUGCGAUGACUAGAGUCCGGUAGGGGAGUGUGGAAUUCCUGGUGUAGCGGUGAAAUGCGCAGAUAUCAGGAGGAACACCAACGGCGAAGGCAGCACUCUGGGCCGGAACUGACGCUGAGGAGCGAAAGCGUGGGUAGCGAACAGG
rnacentral:rRNA from 1 species